GAGAAUCUUUAUUUUUUGACUAGUCUUUGAAUGUUUAUCCUUGCAUUCCUCCCCAGGUGGAAUUGUCAGAUUUGACUCAAAGACUAGGCAGAAUAACUUUUGAGAUCAAAUGGGAGUCAGCUUGUAUCUUGUAGUGGGGAACUUUUUUCUUGGGUUUAGCACAAGGGUGGAUAGAGACAGAAAAUUCCUGUUUAGGAAAUUUAUUAUGCUUCCUUUGUGGAAAUCAUUCUGCCUUUGUUUUCCACAGUCUGAUUAAAUCCUGGGUGAGUGUUGGGAUAAAAUAGAGAUUUCUCAGAGCCCUUUCAUAUUGUCUUGUAAGUAGAAGAAGGAACAGUGGUGACCUGUUGUGUUGGGAUUAUAGGUUGAGAAAGAAAUUCCAGAGCCUGGAUCCAUCUCCUCAGUCUGAUAGGGUUCCUGAUGUUUGCAGACCUUCCUUACCGAAGAGAUUCCUACUACUCUUUGACUGCUGGGGCCCCGAGUUGUUGCUCUGGCUCCAAGGCCACAUUCUUUCUGUGCUCUGAAUCCGCUGAGGUUUAUAGCGAGCUGGACUUCUGGAGAAAGUUUGUGGGCGUAGACCGCAGCCCAAGCUCCAUAUCUUCCCACUCUCCGGAAAGGUGCUGGACAGGAAUUCCCCUACCCCUUUUUGCUUUUUCCCCAGCCCUAUGGGAGAUCCAAGGGCCUUCAAGCUGCCGCACUUGAGCACUUUAGCUCAGAAAAUAUGCACCUGUUGGCCCUGGAAGACCAAGAUUGAGAACCUUUUCCUAGCAUAUCAGAUCCGAGGCAGGGUGUGAGCUGCUGCUGUCUGAAACUCCACAGACCAAAAUCUGCUUCAGAGCCUUGGAUCCAGCUGUGAAACUACUUUUCAGCCUGCAUGCCUUGCAUUUGGGCUACAGAUCACUUUAUCUUCGUAUUGGAAAAAUUACUGCUGGAAUUAGCAUGUAAGCAGAUGUGCUUUUUACCAGAAAUAUACAUUCAGGGAUAAAUGGAAGAAUUUUGUCAUGGACAAAACCAGUGCCAGGUUUUCCCCACAUGAAACAUUUGGACAACAGAUUAAAGCUGACCUGGUAAUAUAACAGGAGUGACUAUGAUAGUGAUGAGGAUUCCACUUACUAUGAUCUGAAGAAAUCAUUGACUGAGAAUCCAGAUAUGUUGUAGGCCACUUUGGUAACCUGGAUGCUUCAGUAGACUACAAUGGAAUGGAAUAAUAUGCUACAGGCAGCAGCCAAAGAUUGAUUGUCCUGAUGUGCACUUGAGAGAUCUUGGUGAGAGAGGUCUUCUGCUGAUGUGGUAAAUUUAUGAGAUUAGACUCUUCACAACCCUUUGAAAGAAAAGGUGAUAAUUGGUGGGAUAUGACGGCAACUUUCAUCUCAGCUGUUUGGAAGAUGGAGGAAGGACACAAAUAAAUCCUGGAUCAUUGGAUCAGAGGAGAAGACAAAGAAAAGGGGGUGGAUGUGGGGGUACUGUAGUGAAGUUUUUGCACCUGGACAGCUUUGGACUCUCAACAGUGAAUUGAUUCUGGGGACUCUUCUUGUAACCCUACAUAGGGGUUUUUCUGGAACAUGUUCAAAUCUACUCAACAGGUCAAACUGAAUGUGGACUUGAAAAAAAAUAGUAUUUGAACACAUUGAAAAUUGUGGUACAUUAGUCUGAUGACUUAGAGACAAUCCUGGAGUGUCAGACUUAUAAAAUGUAUGUUUACAUUCCUCCUACAAAGAGAAACAUACCCUCGUCAUCCCUUUGGAAUCAUCUUUGUUAUAGUGAGAACCCUGAUAGAUCUAAGGUUCCCAAUCAUGCUUCAGAGAAUGUGUUUUCUGAUACAUCAUGGGUAUUGACACUUGCAGUAGCUGCCAGCCACCAACUAAUGGCUUCCUGCUUCGACUUCUUAGCAUUGUUUGCUAAUAUUCACUUUUUGGAAGCAUCCAGCAGCUGGGAACCAUUUCAAAGAGUGUGUCUUGCCAGACAAAGAGGAUCAGAAUCCUACUUCUCUUUGCCAGAUGGUUUUUAAUGGCUAACUGCAAAAAUUCUUCUUACUUAGAGGGGAAUUCAAAAAAUAUAUUAAAUCAGAGAAGCUUUCUUCAAUUCUGCAAGCAUUAAUUAAACAACUACACUACGCAAGGCACUUAAAAUACAAAGACAAAGUUAAAUAGUUUCUGCCCUUGAAUAACUUACAUUCUACCUUUACAUUAAAGAAUAUUUCAUAGCCUGUGAACUUUGGAACAUUGGGAUCUUAUGUAUAGAUGGCUACUUGUGAAGAAAAAUAACUGCAAUUCAAAAAAAUCUGGUGUUUUUUAUUCAGUGAUAUGAAUUUUGCUCCAAUGCUUCAGUAGUAUGAUUGCUGUGGUUCUUGGGGACCACCGGCUCCAAUCUUAUAAAUGUAAUUUUGAGACUGCAAAAAUUCUCUAUAGUGAUAGAAAAAAAGUUUAUUUUUCCAAAGUAGGAUUUUUUUAAAAAAAUAAUUCCUUAUGUCUGUGAACAUAAAUUUUUUAUUGUGUCAAUUUUGUAUUUCAGUAUAAUUAGUUUCUUUCAUAAUCCUAUGAAUUUUAUGUUGUGCUUUUAAAAGUAUCAGAAUUUAAGAAUAUCCCAAAAGUCCAAACUGAGUCAACUGAUAUAGUAUAUUUUUUAAAUCCCAAAGACAAAAAACUUAGAGAUAGCAGGAUGACAAUUUUUUAUUUCAAAGUAAAAUGAUAUGUUUUUAUUUAAAAUAUAUCUUCGUAAAUAGGAGAAAUUAUAGUAAGCUAUUUUAAAUUAUUUUUAAAGAAGUGUAUCAACUGGAACAUUUGGUUCUUUUAGGGUUAAAAACAUUACUCUGAAGCCCAUAGGUUUUAUUAGACUGCCAGUGGGUUUCAUGAUACACAAAAAUAUCUAAGAGCCUAUUCAUUCCCCAAUGGUAUAUUUUAGUUUGGGGUUUUCAUGUGACGCAGCUUCUGAUAAUGUCUUACCCUGAGCCCUUCUUGUGACUUAGAUGUGACCCUGGGCUAUGUUAGCAGAUUACAAGCUCUGGCAGGUUCCACCAAGCCCGUCAGGGCUUCAAGUAUGGACCUGAAAGGAUACAUUGUCAUCUGAAAGUCAACUUAAUAGCAUACCAAGCUGCUCAAUACCAGAUAGCUGGCUUCCAGAUGAAGACUCUUUCUAGCUACAAUAACUACUAAGGCAUUGAAGAGGCUCAUGAUCUGCACCAGUGGAGGAAAUAUUCCAAUGCUGAUGAAAUUACAGAUUUUACAGUAUGGAAUCAGGACAAUAGUGAAAGGAACACUGAACCAGGAACUAGGAGAUGAGCUUUAAGAUAUGCUCCACAAGGCUGUAGUGUGUGAGGAUCU